AAACAACUCGCAAACACACAGCCGAACAAACAGAAGAACGAAAAAAAAACAACAAAAUAAAGAAGGUAGAGAAAAACAAGCACAAUAAACAAGUGGAGAGCACCAUCGAUUUCCAUUUGCUUUUUUGUUGUGUUUUUAUUUUCUUGAAAUAUAGAUAAAAUUGU
rnacentral:ribozyme from 1 species